rnacentral:rRNA from 1 species
GACGAACGCUGGCGGCGUGCUUAACACAUGCAAGUCGAACGGAAAGGCCCUGCUUUUGUGGGGUGCUCGAGUGGCGAACGGGUGAAUAACACGUGAGUAACCUGCCCUUGACUUUGGGAUAACUUCAGGAAACUGGGGCUAAUACCGGAUAGGAGCUCCUGCUGCAUGGUGGGGGUUGGAAAGUUUCGGCGGUUGGGGAUGGACUCGCAGCUUAUCAGCUUGUUGGUGGGGUAGUGGCUUACCAAGGCUUUGACGGGUAGCCGGCCUGAGAGGGUGACCGGCCACAUUGGGACUGAGAUACGGCCCAGACUCCUACGGGAGGCAGCAGUGGGGAAUAUUGCACAAUGGGCGGAAGCCUGAUGCAGCAACGCCGCGUGCGGGAUGACGGCCUUCGGGUUGUAAACCGCUUUCGCCUGUGACGAAGCGUGAGUGACGGUAAUGGGUAAAGAAGCACCGGCUAACUACGUG